rnacentral:rRNA from 1 species
UACAGAGGCCACGAGCGUUAGGCGGAAUCACUGGGCUUAAAGCGUGUGUAGGUGGAUCGGUAAGUACCUUAUAAAAUCCCACAGCUCAACUGUGGAACUGCUUGGUAUACUGCCAGUCUUGAGGCACUCAGGGGCGAGCGGAACAAGUGGUGGAGCGGUGAAAUGCGUAGAUAUCACUUGGAACGCCAAUGGUGAAGACAGCUCGCUGGGGGUGUACUGACACUGAGACACGAAAGCCAGGGGAGCGAACGGG